UGCGACGUGGUGGACGGUGCCGUGGGAAGAGGGAGUGUGAGAGUGUUGUCGGGGAGUAAUUGGGGGAAGGGGCUGGUAGGCGGGCUCUGGCGUCGGGGGUGUAAAGUGAGGGGUGAACCCGGAGACGGCUUCCGAGAAGGGCAGACUAGAGGUAUGGAGGGGGGAUCGGAAUUCCUGGUGUAGCGGUGAAAGGCGCAGGUAGCAGGAGGAACACCGGUGGCGAAGGCGGUUCUCUGGGCAUUACCUGACGCUGAGGAGCGAAAGUGUGGGGAGCGAACAGGAUUAGAUACCCUAGUAGUC
rnacentral:rRNA from 1 species